GGAGUUAGCCGGUGCUUCUUCUGCGAGUAACGUCACAGAUGUAAGGUAUUAACUUACACCCUUUCCUCCUCGCUGAAAGUGCUUUACAACCCGAAGGACUUCUUCACACACGCGGCAUGGAUGCAUCAGGGUUUCCCCCAUUGUGCAAUAUUCCCCACUGCUGCCUCCCGUAGGAGUCUGGGCCGUGUCUCAGUCCCAGUGUGGCUGAUCAUCCUCUCAGACCAGCUAGGGAUCGUCGCCUAGGUGAGCCUUUACCUCACCUACUAGCUAAUCCCACCUGGGCUUAUCCAUCAGCGCAAGGCCCGAAGGUCCCCUGCUUUCCCCCGUAGGGCGUAUGCGGUAUUAGCAGUCGUUUCCAACUGUUAUCCCCCACAAAUGGGCAAAUUCCCAGGCAUUACUCACCCGUCCGCCGCUCGUCAUCUUCAAAAGCAAGCUUUUGAAAUGUUACCGCUCGACUUGCAUGUGUUAGGCCUGCCGCCAGCGUUCAAUCUGAGCCAUGAUCAAACUCUGA
rnacentral:rRNA from 1 species